GGGGAAUAUUGGGCAAUGGGCGAAAGCCUGACCCAGCGACGCCGCGUGAGGGAAGAAGGUCUUCGGAUUGUAAACCUUAGUCAACAGGGAAGAAGAAAGUGACGGUACCUGUGGAGGAAGCCACGGCUAACUACGUGCCAGCAGCCGCGGUAAUACGUAGGUGGCGAGCGUUGUCCGGAAUUACUGGGUGUAAAGGGCGUGUAGGCGGAGAUGCAAGUUGGGAGUGAAAUCCAUGGGCUUAACCCAUGAACUGCUCUCAAAACUGUAUCCCUUGAGUAUCGGAGAGGCAAGCGGAAUUCCUAGUGUAGCGGUGAAAUGCGUAGAUAUUAGGAGGAACACCAGUGGCGAAGGCGGCUUGCUGGACGACAACUGACGCUGAGGCGCGAAAGCGUGGGGAGCAAACAGGAUUAGAUACCCUGGUAGU
rnacentral:rRNA from 1 species